AAGAAAAAGAAGUCCUUGGAACAAGAUGAAUCUCUUCAUUGCAAUUUUGAAAUAGAAUUUUGGCACUGGCUUUGAGAGCUUUUCUGGCAAGUGAUGGAAGCAAGAAUUGUGCUGCUGAGAAGAGCAAUUAUUUGAAAGAAGGUUUGAAUGAUUGAAAUAAUGUGGCAACGGAAGAACCCUGAACCUUCCCAGUGAACUUAGAGUGUACCUGACUUCAAAAAGGAAACCUGGAAAGGAAGUAAUUACUACAGAAGCUUUAACAAUGCUUUUCCAGGAUUUGGCUGCUCAAGAAAGCCAGGUACAUGUAAUUCUCUCCAAACGUGUAGGACAUGAAAACAAUAGUAGGCAAAGCACCUGAAUGCACAUAAGGUGAGUGGUAAUCUCAAGACAGAAGUAACAAAUUAUAGUCUUCUUAUGACAAGAACUGUCAGUGGGC
rnacentral:lncRNA from 1 species